UUGAAAGCUAAGAAGGCGGUGCUGAAAAGCGUCCACAGCCACAAAAAGAAGAAGAUCUGAACGUCACCCACCUUCCAGCAGCCCAAGACCCUGCGGAGCCGCAGGGUCUUGGGCCACCGGAAGGUGGGUGACGUUCAGAUCUUUUUUUUUGUGACUGUGGACGCUUUUCAGCACCGCCUUCUUAGCUUUCAAGGCCUUCGCUUUGGCUUUGGCUUUGGCUUU
rnacentral:lncRNA from 1 species